rnacentral:rRNA from 1 species
GACGAACGCUGGCGGCGUGCCUAAUACAUGCAAGUCGAACGCAGUGGGGCCGGGUGAGUAACACGUGGCUAACCUCCCAUAUGAGUGGAUAACACUUGGCAACAGGUGCUAAACCGAUACUGAUGUAUGGACCUGCUGUGCAUAAGCUAGUGGGUGAGGUAACGGCUCACCAAGGCCACGAUGCAUAGCCGACCUGAGAGGGUGAUCGGCCACACUGGGACUGAGACACGGCCCAGACUCCUACGGGAGGCAGCAGUAGGGAAUCUUCGGCAAUGGACGAAAGUCUGACCGAGCAACGCCGCGUGAGUGAAGAAGGUUUUCGGAUCGUAAAGCUCUGUUGUUAGAGAAGCGGUAUCUAACCAGAAAGCCACGGCUAACUACGUGCCAGCAGCCGCGGUAAUUC